CUCUCUCUCUCUCUCUCUCUCUCCCCCUUCCUAUUUAUAUUUUGUGGUCUUAAGCCUUACUUUAGCUGUCUGUGAUUUAAACCUGGAUUCUCAGAUAUUCUCUGGGUUCUGUCUACAUUUAACAAUCUACAAUUCCGAUCUGGCCGGUUUGCAUUUAACCAUAAAUAGGGAAGGUUUUGAAGAAAGAUUUCUCAGACCUUCUGGAGAGAAGCUGUUGCCUACACAACUCUGGCCGACCCUCUUGUGAAAUUUGCUCCAACCAGAGCAGGUGGUGGUUCUCUGUUUUCUGGUUGCCCUUCUUGUCCAUCUUCAUCAUCUUUGCCAUUCUUUGGCGCUCGCUCAUUGCUUCGGCACCUUCCGAUUGAUUACGGUUAAAUUUUCAUCAAUCCGUCCAUUUUAUGCGUUAAUAGAAGCCGUUCGAGAUUCGGUAGCGUAAAUUUCAAUCUUCAAAAAUAGAGGAAGUAACAAAUAAAAGUAGGUGAUAAAAGAUAAAAGAGCGUUUAUUUGAGCUUCUUUUGGGAAUCUGUUUUAGCCAGUUCUUCAAAAUGGCAAAAUUCACCUGCUGCUUCAGGCUAUCUGGGGAGGAGAAGGAAAAAAAGGUUGGUGAGAUAUCAUCAAGAUCUGCUGAGUUCAACAAGGGGAUCAAGACAUUGAAAAUUAGGCUUGAGCAUCCAGUGAAACCUUACGAGAGUGAUGAGUUGAAAACGACCUCUUUUAGCGUGUCAGUGGACUCGGUACCUUUGGUGCAGAAGGAUUUUCCGAGUGUCAAGUUAACGAGUCAUGAGGGUCUGGGUAGGGAUGAAGCACCAGAGGUUGCAUAUGAGGGGGGAGAUGAACACGAGGAGAAUGCCUCGAUGAAGAGGGACUUGUCUGAUAUCAAUCUCCAAGGCCACGGACCUAAUUCAGGUGAAGAGUUCACUCCAGUAAGUCCAAAAUUCAGUUUCUCUAAUUCAUUUGAUAUCAAGGUCGAUGAACAAUUUGCAAACAAAGCUGAGAAACUUAGUGACAAGGGUAUUCAUGAGAUCCAAAGUGGUCAUGUUAGUGAUCCUGGGAUUGGUAAGGCUGAGUUCUGGGGUUCACCUAAGCUUAAACGGUCUUGCUCUAACCUCGAAACGAGCAAAGUGCUAAAAAGAAUGACCGAUCAUUCUGCUCCUUCAAAAUCCCCAUAUUCUGGUGAGUCGCAAGAAAUAGAUGAGAAAUUGAGGGAACCUGGCAGCCCUGUAUCUAUAACAAGCCAUCGCAGCGCUGAUAGAGUGAUUUUAAAAAAACAUUCCUCAAGCCAAGUUCUACCAUCAAGAAGUAGAAAGCUGUGGUGGAAAUUGUUUCUCUGGAGCCACAGAAACCUGCAUAGACCGUGGAUAGUGAAACCAAAACCACAAGUAGUUAAUACUUCAAACCAGCAAUGUGGGUAUGCUUCAGAUACAGUUGAGCCAAAUCAAGCUAUCAUAUCGAGCAACAUACAAUCUCCAGGGUCAUUUACUGGGGAUUCCUUGAACAAAGGAUGCGACAACAAUUAUGAUGACAAUCAGAGCUGGUACGAUUUUCAUGGUGGGAUAUCUGGCCGAUGGCCUCAGAAACACUGGGUUGCUUUCUCAAUGGAACCAUCCCCUUUUACAAGAGUGGAUGAGUGGGUAAAGGAUCUUGAGACCCAAGCACCACCUCCUCAUAGUUAUGAUGAUAAUGAUGCAGAUAAUAGUGGUGAGGGCAUUGUCUUCCCACCCUCUCCUGAGACUGGUAGAUCACCAGGAAGAACCACGGCCAACUUGACUCGACGUCCAGACUUUAAUAUCUCAGAGGAGAUUUUGCAUGCCAAUGCUGUCAUCCAAUCUCUGAAUCCUUGCUCAACUGUAGCUCACAUAUCUGGUACUGGCUUAAAGGCCAUUCCCACCUUAUCAUGCUUCACCAGUCUUCGAUCUGUUAACUUGUCUAACAAUUUCAUAGUCUAUAUCAGCCCAGGAUCAUUACCUAAAGGCCUCCACACGCUCAAUUUGUCAAGAAACAAAAUCAGUACCAUUGAAGGACUCAGAGAAUUAACUCGACUGCGAGGGCUUGAUCUCAGUUACAAUCGCAUUUCUCGAAUUGGACAAGGGUUAUCAAACUGUACAAUAAUCAAAGAACUGUACCUUGCUGGGAACAAGAUUAGUGAUGUAGAGGGCCUACACAGGCUUCUGAAGCUUACAGUCCUAGACCUGAGCUUUAACAAGAUAACAACAACAAAAGCUCUGGGGCAGCUUGUUGCUAACUAUAACUCAUUGCAAGCUCUGAAUUUGUUGGGCAAUCCAAUUCAGAGCAACAUCAGUGAUGACCAGCUUCGCAAGGCAGUUUGUGGUCUCCUUCCAAAGCUAGUUUACCUAAACAAACAGUCCAUCAAACCGCAGAGAGCACGAGAAGUUCUUACAGAUAGCGUUGCCAAAGCAGCCCUUGGGGGGACCAACAGCAGUUGGAGCUCUCGCAGAAGAGCAGCAAAGAGAACAAGCUCCAAUGGUUCAGCCUCCUCCAAUUUACACAGGAAUAGUGUUGGUGCAAAACAGAAAAGUAAGAGCAGGUCAAAGAGCCGAACACAUCACCUAAAGACAAUGUCAUCAAAGCAUGCUUCUUCCUCCCGUUAAAAGUUUUCCCAUGCAGGAAACCUUCCCUAGUAAUUCAAUAUCACUCUGUUAAACAGU
rnacentral:misc_RNA from 1 species